rnacentral:rRNA from 1 species
CGGAUCCUACGGGGCGCAGCAGUCGGGAAUAUUGCGCAAUGGAGGAAACUCUGACGCAGUGACGCCGCGUAUAGGAAGAAGGUUUUCGGAUUGUAAACUAUUGUCGUUAGGGAAGAUAAAAGACUGUACCUAAGGAGGAAGCCCCGGCUAACUAUGUGCCAGCAGCCGCGGUAAUACGGAGGAUGCGAGCGUUAUCCGGAUUUAUUGGGUUUAAAGGGUGCGCAGGCGGCGAGUUAAGUCAGCGGUAAAAUUUCGGUGCUCAACCCCGACGAGCCGUUGAAACUGGCUUGCU